GUCUACGGUCAUGCCGCACUGAACAAGCCCGAUAUCGUCUGAUCUUGGAAGCUAAGCGGGGCCGAGCCUGGUUAGUACAUGGAUGGGAGACCACCUAGGAAUAUCGGGUGCUGUACGUA
rnacentral:rRNA from 1 species